UGGAAACUAGUGGCUGGGACA
rnacentral:miRNA from 1 species